AGCGCAGGUGGUUUAUUAAGUCUGGUGUAAAAGGCAGUGGCUCAACCAUUGUAUGCAUUGGAAACUGGUAGACUUGAGUGCAGGAGAGGAGAGUGGAAUUCCAUGUGUAGCGGUGAAAUGCGUAGAUAUAUGGAGGAACACCGGUGGCGAAAGCGGCUCUCUGGUCUGUAACUGACACUGAGGCUCGAAAGGCGUGGGAGCAAACA
rnacentral:rRNA from 1 species